rnacentral:rRNA from 1 species
UACGUAGGGGGCUAGCGUUAUCCGGAAUUACUGGGCGUAAAGGGUGCGUAGGUGGUUUCUUAAGUCAGAGGUGAAAGGCUACGGCUCAACCGUAGUAAGCCUUUGAAACUGGGAAGCUUGAGUGCAGGAGAGGAGAGUGGAAUUCCUAGUGUAGCGGUGAAAUGCGUAGAUAUCGGGAGGAACAUCGGUGGCGAAGGCGGGUAACUGGACUGCAACUGACGCUGAGGCGCGAAAGUGUGGGGAGCAAACAGGAUUAGAUACCCUGGUAGUCCCUGAG